rnacentral:rRNA from 1 species
CCUACGGGAGUCAGCAGUAGGGAAUUUUGCGCAAUGGGCGAAAGCCUGACGCAGCAACGCCGCGUGAUCGAGACGCCCUUCGGGGUGUAACGCUCUGUCAGUGGGGACGAAACUUGACGGUACCCACAGAGGAAUCACCGGCUAACUCCGUGCCAGCAGCCGCGGUAAUACGGGGGGUGCAAGCGUUGUCCUGAAUCAUUGGGCGUAAAGAGUUCGUAGGCGGCACGUAAAGUCUGGUGGUAAAGGCAGAGGCUCAACUUCUGUACGGCACUGGAUACUUGCGAGCUAGAAGGAGGUAGAGGUAAAGGGAAGUCCUGGGGGAGCGGUGAAAUGCUUAGAGAUCAGGAGGAACAUCGGGGGCGGAAGCGCUUUAGUGGGCCGUAAUUGACGCUGAGGAACGAAAGCCAGGGUAGCAAAUGGGAUUAGAUACCCUUGUAGUC